AUACCUUUCUCGGCCUUUUGGCUAAGAUCAAGUGUAGUAUCUGUUCUUAUCAGUUUAAUAUCUGAUAUGUGGGCCAUCGGCCCACUCGAUAUUAAUCUUAUUUUUUAUGGGGAAAGACCCAUCACAAUAGCUUGCUAUUGGGGUCUUUAAGCGUCGCCUUGGCGUUGCACUACUGCCUUGGCUUGGCGCACCCCUC
rnacentral:snRNA from 2 species